rnacentral:rRNA from 1 species
AGCGAACGCUGGCGGCAGGCCUAACACAUGCAAGUCGAACGAACCUUUCGGGGUUAGUGGCGGACGGGUGAGUAACACGUGGGAACGUGCCUUUAGGUUCGGAAUAACUCAGGGAAACUUGUGCUAAUACCGAAUGUGCCCUUCGGGGGAAAGAUUUAUCGCCUUUAGAGCGGCCCGCGUCUGAUUAGCCAGUUGGGUGAGGUAAUGGCUCACCAAGGCGACGAUCAGUAGCUGGUCUGAGAGGAUGAUCAGCCACAUUGGGACUGAGACACGGCCCAAACUCCUGCGGGAGGCAGCAGUGGGGAAUCUUGCGCAAUGGGCGAAAGCCUGACGCAGCCAUGCCGCGUGAAUGAUGAAGGUCUUAGGAUUGUAAAAUUCUUUCACCGGGGACGAUAAUGACGGUACCCGGAGAAGAAGCCCCGGCUAACUUCGUG